rnacentral:sRNA from 1 species
UCAUUUUUUUGGCGGGAUUUUUCUUUUUGGUGGGAAAAAAGUUUGCCAGAAAAUUUUUUUGGCGAGAAAAAUAAAUUUUUGGUGCAAAAAUUUGGUGGGAAAAUUUCAGUUUCUAAUUACAUGUUCCUAUUAGAUGAGGAUAAUUUGGUCAUUCUGUUCAAGGGAAAUGGUAUUUUUAAAAAAGGACAACAUAAAAAGAUAUUGUUGCAAAAGGGUAGUAAAAAAAGAGUAGUUUUGCAAAUCUCCCAAAAUUCUGUAAGGGUUUAGGUUUAAUAUUAUUUAAUUAUAAUUAUAUUGCUUCCUUUUUUAUAAGUUUAAAUUUAAUAUUUGUUA